rnacentral:rRNA from 1 species
UACGUAGGGGGCUAGCGUUGUCCGGAUUUAUUGGGCGUAAAGAGCGUGUAGGCGGCCAGGUAGGUCUGGUGUGAAAACUCGAGGCUUAACCUCGAGAUGUCAUCGGAAACCAUCUGGCUAGAGUCCGGAAGAGGAGAGUGGAAUUCCUGGUGUAGCGGUGAAAUGCGCAGAUAUCAAGAAGAACACCAAUGGCGAAAGCAGCUCUCUGGGACGGUACUGACGCUGAGACGCGAAAGCGUGGGGAGCGAACAGG